CCUACGGGAGGCAGCAGUGGGGAAUAUUGGACAAUGGGCGCAAGCCUGAUCCAGCAAUGCGGCGUGUGUGAAGAAGGCCUGCGGGUUGUAAAGCACUUUCAGGGGGAAGAAAAGCCCAAUGCUAAUAUCAUUAGGUCUUGACGUUACCCCAAGAAGAAGCACCGGCUAACUCCGUGCCAGCAGCCGCGGUAAUACGGAGGGUGCGAGCGUUAAUCGGAAUUACUGGGCGUAAAGAGCAUGUAGGCGGUCUAAUAAGUCGGAUGUGAAAGCCCUGGGCUCAACCUGGGAACGGCAUUCGAUACUGCUAGGCUAGAGUACGGGAGAGGGGGGUAGAAUUCCAGGUGUAGCGGUGAAAUGCGUAGAUAUCUGGAGGAAUACCAGUGGCGAAGGCGGCCCCCUGGACCGAUACUGACGCUGAGGUGCGAAAGCGUGGGGAUCAAACAGGAUUAGAUACCCUGGUAGUCCACGCCGUAAACGAUGUCGACUAGCCGUUAGGUCCAUUUAAGGGCUUAGUGGCGAAGCUAACGCGAUAAGUCG
rnacentral:rRNA from 1 species